UUCUCUCUCUCUGUCUCUCUCUCUCUCUCUCCCUCUACAAUAAAUAUAGGCUGCACGAAGUAAAUGAGGUGCUUGAGGAGUAUAAAGAAUAGAACACUGCCAAAUGGCCUAAAUCUCUCUGUAGACUUUGAAAAUCUACUCCAUUAUCCACAACACCACCUAUCUUGGUAUCAUCUGCAUACUUACUAAUCUAAUUUACCACACCAUCAUCCAGAUCAUUGAUGUAUAUGACAAACAACAGUGGACCCAACACAGAUCCCUUAGGCACCUCACUAGUCACCGACCUCCAACCUGACAAACAACCAUCCACCAUUACUCUCUGGCAUCUCCUAUUCAACCACUGUUGAAUCCAUCUUGCUACUCCACCAUUAAAUGUUGUUGAGGCCACAUUUGAAAGCGAAGCAUCGCCUAUCCAUGUUCCCCGUAGAUACUGCCUGACCUGUUGAGUUAUGCCAGUAUGUUAUGUCCUUAAAAUGUAUAAGAUCAGCUGCCUCAGCAGUUACAUCACUGUAUUAAUUUAAAGAAUACACUGAAGCCCUGGCUGAGAUACAUAGAAACAUAGAAAUUAGUUGCAGGAGUAGGCCUUUCGGCCCUUCGAGCCUGCACCGCCAUUCAAUAUGAUCAUGGCUGAUCAUCCAACUCAGUAUCCCGUACCUGCCUUCUCUCCAUACCCCCUGAUCCCCUUAGCCAGAAGGGCCACAUCUAACUCCCUCUUAAAUAUAGCCAAUGAAAUGGCCUCAACUACCCUCUGUGGCAGAGAGUUCCAGAGAUUCACCACUCUCUGUGUGAAAAAAGUUAUUCUCAUCUCGGUUUUAAAGGAUUUCCCCCUUAUCCUUAAGCUGUGACCCCUUGUCCUGGACUUCCCCAACAUCGGGAACAAUCUUCCUGCAUCUAGUCUGUCCAACCCCUUAAGAAUUUUGUAAGUUUCUAUAAGAUCCCCUCUCAAUCUCCUAAAUUCUAGAGAGUAUAAACCAAGUCUAUCCAGUCUUUCUUCAUGACAGUCCUGACAUCCCAGGAAUCAGUCUGGUGAACCGUCUCUGCACUCCCUCUAUGGCAAUAAUGUCCUUCCUCAGAUUUGGAGACCAAAACUGUAUGCAAUACUCCAAGUGUGGUCUCACCAAGACCCUGUACAACUGCAGUAGAACCUCCCUGCUCCUAUACUCAAAUCCUUUUGCAAUGAAAGCUAACAUACCAUGCGCUUUCUUUACUGCCUGCUGCACCUGCAUGCCUACCUUCAAUGACUGGUGUACCAUGACACCCAGGUCUCGCUGCAUCUCCCCCUUUCCCAAUCGGCCACCAUUUAGAUAAUAGUCUGCUUUCCCGUUUUUGCCACCAAAAUGGAUAACCUCACAUUUAUCCACAUUAUACUGCAUCUGCCAAACAUUUGCCCACUCACCCAGCCUAUCCAAGUCACCUUGCAGUCUCCUAGCAUCCUCCUCACAGCUAACACUGCCCCCCAGCUUAGUGUCAUCCGCAACCCUGGAGAUAUUGCCUUCAAUUCCCUCAUCCAGAUCAUUAAUAUAUAUUGUAAAUAGCAGGGGUCCCAGCACUGAGCCUUGCGGUACCCCACCAGUCACUGCCUGCCAUUGUGAAAAGGACCCGUUUACUCCUACUCUUUGCUUCCUGUUUGCCAGCCACUUCUCUAUCCACAUCAAUACUGAACCCCCAAUGCCGUGUGCUUUAAGUUUGUAUACUAAUCUCUUAUGUGGGACCUUGUCAAAAGCCUUCUGGAAGUCCAGAUACACCACAUCCACUGGUUCUCCCCUAUCCACGCUACUAGUUACAUCCUCGAAAAAUUCUAUAAGAUUCGUCAGACAUGAUUUACCUUUCGUAAAUCCAUGCUGAUUUUGUCCAAUGAUUUCACCACCUUCCAAAUGUGCUGCUAUCCCAUCUUUAAUAACUGACUCUAGCAGUUUCCCCACUACCAAUGUUAGACUAACUGGUCUGUAAUUCCCCGUUUCUCUCUCCCUCCCUUCUUAAAAAGUGGGGUUACGUUUGCUACCCGCCAAUCCUCAGGAACUACUCCAGAAUCUAAAGAGUUUUGAAAGAUUAUUACUAAUGCAUCCACUAUUUCUGGAGCUACUUCCUUAAGUACUCUGGGAUGCAGCCUAUCAGGCCCUGGGGAUUUAUCGGCCUUUAAUCCAUUCAAUUUACCAAACACUAUUUCCCGGCUAACCUGGAUUUCACUCAAUUCCUCCAACUCCUUUGACCCACGGUCCCCUGCUAUUUCCGGCAAAUUAUUUAUGUCUACCUUAGUGAAGACGGAACCAAAGUAGUUAUUCAAUUGGUCCGCCAUAUCCUUGUUCCCCACGAUCAACUCACCUGUUUCUGACUGCAAGGCACCUACAUUUGUUUUAACUAACCUCUAUCUUUUCACAUAUCUAUAAAAAUUUUUGCAGUCAGUUUUUAUGUUCCCUGCCAGUUUUCUUUCAUAAUCUAUUUUCCCUUUCCUAAUUAAGCCCUUUGUCCUCCUCUGCUGGUCUCUGAAUUUCUCCCAGUCCUCCGAUGUGCUGCUUUUUCUGGCUAAUUUGUACGCAUCAUCCUUCGCUUUGAUACUAUCCCUGAUUUCCCUUGUUAUCCACGGAUGUACUACCUUCCCUGAUUUAUUCUUUUGCCAAACUGGGAUGAACAAUUUUUGUAGUUCAUCCAUGCAGUCUUUAAAUGUCUUCCAUUGCAUAUCCAUCGUCAACCCUUUUAGAAUUAAUUGCCAGUCAAUCUUGGCCAAUUCACAUCUCAUACCCUCAAAGUUACCUUUCUUUAAGUUCAGAACCAUUGUUUCUGAAUUAACAAUGUCACUCUCCAUCCUAAUGAAGAAUUCAACCAUAUCAUGGUCACUCUUGCCCAAGGGGCCACGUACAACAAGAUUGCUAACUAACCCUUCCUCAUUACUCAAUACCCAGUCUAAAAUAGCCUGCUCUCUCGUUGGUUCCUCUACAUGUUGAUUUAGAUAACUAUUCCGCAUACAUUCCAAGAAAUCCUCUUCCUCAGCACCCCAGCCAAUUUGAUUCACCCAAUCUAUAUGUAGAUUGAAGUCACCCAUUAUAACUGUUUUGCCUGUCGCACGCAUUUCUAAUUUCCUGUUUGAUACCAUCUCCAACUUCACUACUACUGUUAGGUGGCCUGUACACAACACCCACCAGCGUUUUCUGCCCCUUAGUGUUUCGCAGCUCUACCCAUACCGAUUCCUCAUCCUCCAAACUAAUGUCCUUCCUUUCUAUUGAAUUAAUCUCCUCUCUAAUCAGUAACGCAACCCCACCUCCUUUUCCUUUCUCUCUAUCCCUCCUGAAUAUUGAAUAUCCCUGGAUGUUCAGCUCCCAGCCUUGGUCACCCUUGAGCCAUGUCUCCGUGAUCCCAACUAUAUCAUAGUCAUUAAUGGCUAUCUGCACAUUCAACUCAUCCACCUUAUUACGAAUGCUCCUUGCAUUGAGACGCAAAGCCUUCAGGCUUGUUUUUACAACACUCUUACCCCUUAUACAAUUAUGUUGAAAAGUGGCCCUUUUUGAUUUUUGCCUGGGUUUUGACUGCCUGCCACUUUUACUUUUCACCUUGCUACCUAUUGCUUCUACCCUCAUUUUACACCCCUUGGUCGCUACGCUCACACAUUUAAGAAUGCCUUUCCCUUUAACUUCAUCCUCCACUAUCCCAUUCGACACCCCACCCCCCUUGUUCAGUUUAAAGCCACCCAUGUAGCAGUGGCAAAUCUGCCUGCCAGAAGGCUGGUCCCGCACCUGUUAAGAUGCAAUCCGUCCGUUUUGUACAUUUCCCCCUUACCCCAAAACAGAUCCCAGUGAUCUAAGAAUCUAAAUCCCUGCCCCAUGCACCAGUUCCUCAGCCACACGUUCAGGUCCCGUAUCUCCCUGUUCCUGCUCUCGCCAGCACGGGGAACUGGAAGCAAACCGGAGAUAACAACCCUGGAGGUCCUGCUUUUCAACAUUUUUCCGAGCUCUCUAAAGUCACGCUGCAGAAUAUUCAUCCCCUUUUUUCCGACAUUGUUUGUGCCGACAUGCACUACCACUUCCGGAUGUUCACCUUCGCCCUUGAGGAUUUUCUGCACUCUGUCCAUGACAUCCUGGAUCCUGGCACAGGGAAGGCAGCACACCAUCCUCGCAUCCCAUCUGUUGCCGCAGAAACCCCUGUCUGUUGCCGCAGAAACCCCUCUCCUCUCAUGAUGGAGUCUCCCACUACAAUGGCCUUGCCUGCCUUAGGCCUUUUUGGUUUUGGCUCAACAGCCCAAUUCGCAUCGCAAGCCAGUCUUCUGUCCCAACAGCUUCUAAGCGGGUGAACCUGUUUACAAGAGGUACACCACCCGGGGACGUUGGCAUUCCAUGCUUCCCUCCCUUUCUCACUGUCUCCCACCUUGUCUCUUCCAGUACCUUAGGUGUAACAAUCGUACUGUAGGACUUAUCGAGGAACGACUCAGUUUCUCGUACGAACCGGAGGUCAUCCACUUGCUUCUCCAGUUCCCCAACACGGCCCUUCAGGAGCUCCACCUGGAUGUACAGUAUAUGGAUCAUUGUUAGCCACCGGUAAUAUGCUAGAAAGUUUUUUAAGAAGGCUUGUAUAGGAAAACCUGGGGACUAUCGACCAGUGAGCCAAAUUACAGGAGGGGAUUCUGAAGGAUAAGAUAUAACUGCAUUUGGUAAAACAGAGGUUGAUCAUCGCCGAUUCCCAGUCCGCAGCAAAGAUCCUAGAGGAGCAAGAUAGACCACUCCUCGAAAAACGCGUAGUAUGACGUGUGUGAUCGUCGACGCCAUUUUUCGAGGCAUUUAUUGGGCUUCCCCCACAGUGUCAUGGCGUCCUUAUCUAAAUUUCAUCUCACUGCCUUGCUAUCAAGAAUUCUAAUCGUAAAUCUAAACAACCUGACCUGUCAUUCUUUAGGUUCCCCAAUAAAAAAGAAAGAUGUCAACAGUGGGUCCAGAAUACUCAUCGACAAGAUCUCCUGCACCGAACUGCAGAGUAUUUGUCAAAUAACUGCCGUCUUAUGUACAUUGUGUGAAAUUGUGAUUUGUUAACUGCACAAAACUAAUGCAAAUGGCGAUAUAUUUAUUAUUGUAUCUACGUUGGACAUUUUGCUCUUUGGUGUCAGAACGCGGGGUGGGAGAUUGCAACCUUCACGUGGUCCGCCCUGUUUCGACAAAUGCAAUCAACCCGGUGUGCACAGUCAAAUAAGAUCAAAUAGAAUAAGUUGUCCUACAACUUUAGGCUGUGCACGCCAUACGCAAUAAGAAGAAGAAGAAGUGUCAGAAUGCAGUCUGAAGAAGGCUUCCGACCUGCAACAUCACCUAUUCCUUUUCUCCAGAGAUGCUGCCUGACCCACUGAGUUACUCCAGCAUUUUGUGUCUAUCUCUGUUUAGAUUGGACUCGUGGAUGGAGAUUGCGGCUGGUCUGGUGAUCUAGAACGAGGGCCAAAGUCUCAGAAUAUGGGUCAUGAUAUUUAGUAAUGAGACAAGGAGCAGUUUCUUCACUCAAGGGCUGGGAAUCUUGGAAUUCUUUAUCGCGUGAGAUGGUGGAAGUCGAGCCCUUGAAAGGAGAGAUAUUUUUUUUCAAAUACGAAGGAUAAUGGAGAGAAUGGAUGAAGGACGGGAUGAAGGAUAAUGGAGAGAAUGUGGGAAUAAGGUGUUGAGUUGCAGGAUCAACAAUAAUCUUACUGAUGGUGGUGUGAACUUAGAUGGCUUAUCCUUGCUUCUAUUUCUUACAGAGACACAGCACGGAAACAGGCCCUUUGGCCCACCGCGUCCGCAUUGACCAGCGAUCCCCGCACACUAACACCACCCUACACACACUAGGGACAAUUUACACUUAUACCAAGCCUACACACCUGUAUGUCUUUGGAGUGUGGGAGGAAACCGAAGAUCUCGGAGAACACCCAUUCAGUCACGGGGAGAAUGUACGAACUCAGUACAGACAGCACCCACUGUAAGGCAGCAACUUUACUGCUGCACCACCAUGCCGCCCUUAAUCCACUAGGGCACUAGGUUACAAUAAACUUCCUACAUAUUCCAGGAAUGCAUCUCAUAAAAAUGGGAGAGGUUUAAAUGCAUUGUAAAAU